rnacentral:tRNA from 1 species
GGGCGCAUAGCUCAGCUGGUUAGAGCGUCUGCUUGACGUGCAGAAGGUCAGAGGUUCGAACCCUCUUGCGCCCA